UACGGAAGGGGCAAGCGUUGUUCGGAAUUACUGGGCGUAAAGCGCGCGUAGGCGGCUUUGCAAGUCGGGUGUGAAAUCCCCAGGCUUAACCUGGGAACUGCAUUCGAGACUGCAUUGCUAGAGUAUGGGAGAGGGAAGUGGAAUUUCCGGUGUAGCGGUGAAAUGCGUAGAUAUCGGAAGGAACAUCAGUGGCGAAAGCGACUUCCUGGACCAAUACUGACGCUCAUGUGCGAAAGCGUGGGGAGCAAACAGG
rnacentral:rRNA from 1 species